rnacentral:rRNA from 2 species
GGAUGCGAUCAUACCAGCACUAAAGCACCGGAUCCCAUCAGUACUCUGAAGUUAAGCGUGCUUGGGCGAGAGUAGUACUAGGAUGGGUGACCUCCUGGGAAGUCCUCGUGUUGCAUUCC